GAAAGUCGAGCGAGCGGAACUAACAGAUUUACCUCGGUAAUGACGUUAGGAAAGCGAGCGGCGGAUGGGUGAGUAACACGUGGGGAACCUGCCCCAUAGUCUGGGAUACCACUUGGAAACAGGUGCUAAUACCGGAUAAGAAAGCAGAUCGCAUGAUCAGCUUUUAAAAGGCGGCGUAAGCUGUCGCUAUGGGAUGGCCCCGCGGUGCAUUAGCUAGUUGGUAAGGUAAAGGCUUACCAAGGCGAUGAUGCAUAGCCGAGUUGAGAGACUGAUCGGCCACAUUGGGACUGAGACACGGCCCAAACUCCUACGGGAGGCAGCAGUAGGGAAUCUUCCACAAUGGACGCAAGUCUGAUGGAGCAACGCCGCGUGAGUGAAGAAGGUUUUCGGAUCGUAAAGCUCUGUUGUUGGUGAAGAAGGAUAGAGGUAGUAACUGGCCUUUAUUUGACGGUAAUCAACCAGAAAGUCACGGCUAACUACGUGCCAGCAGCCGCGGUAAUACGUAGGUGGCAAGCGUUGUCCGGAUUUAUUGGGCGUAAAGCGAGCGCAGGCGGAAGAAUAAGUCUGAUGUGAAAGCCCUCGGCUUAACCGAGGAACUGCAUCGGAAACUGUUUUUCUUGAGUGCAGAAGAGGAGAGUGGAACUCCAUGUGUAGCGGUGGAAUGCGUAGAUAUAUGGAAGAACACCAGUGGCGAAAGCGGCUCUCUGGUCUGCAACUGACGCUGAGGCUCGAAAGCAUGGGUAGCGAACAGGAUUAGAUACCCUGGUAGUCCAUGCCGUAAACGAUGAGUGCUAAGUGUUGGGAGGUUUCCGCCUCUCAGUGCUGCAGCUAACGCAUUAA
rnacentral:rRNA from 1 species